rnacentral:tRNA from 2 species
GCCGGGGUGGCGAAACUGGUAGACGCAAGGGACUUAAAAUCCCUCGGUCGUUUAGACCAUGCGGGUUCGAGUCCCGCCCCCGGCA